rnacentral:rRNA from 1 species
AACGUGCCCAGUCGUGGGGGAUAACGUAGAGAAAUUUACGCUAAUACCGCAUACGAUCUAAGGAUGAAAGCGGGGGACCGUAAGGCCUCGCGCGAUUGGAGCGGCUGAUAUCAGAUUAGCUUGUUGGUGAGGUAAAAGCUCACCAAGGCGACGAUCUGUAGCUGGUUUGAGAGAACGACCAGCCACACUGGGACUGAGACACGGCCCAGACUCCUACGGGAGGCAGCAGUGGGGAAUUUUGGACAAUGGGCGAAAGCCUGAUCCAGCAAUGCCGCGUGUGG